GACGAACGCUGGCGGCGUGCUUAACACAUGCAAGUCGAACGGAAAGGCCCUGCUUUUGUGGGGUGCUCGAGUGGCGAACGGGUGAGUAACACGUGAGUAACCUGCCCUUGACUUUGGGAUAACUUCAGGAAACUGGGGCUAAUACCGGAUAGGAGCUCCUGCUGCAUGGUGGGGGUUGGAAAGUUUCGGCGGUUGGGGAUGGACUCGCGGCUUAUCAGCUUGUUGGUGGGGUAGUGGCUUACCAAGGCUUUGACGGGUAGCCGGCCUGAGAGGGUGACCGGCCACAUUGGGACUGAGAUACGGCCCAGACUCCUACGGGAGGCAGCAGUGGGGAAUAUUGCACAAUGGGCGGAAGCCUGAUGCAGCAACGCCGCGUGCGGGAUGACGGCCUUCGGGUUGUAAACCGCUUUCGCCUGUGACGAAGCGUGAGUGACGGUAAUGGGUAAAGAAGCACCGGCUAACUACGUGCCAGCAGCCGCGGUGAUACGUAGGGUGCGAGCGUUGUCCGGAUUUAUUGGGCGUAAAGGGCUCGUAGGUGGUUGAUCGCGUCGGAAGUGUAAUCUUGGGGCUUAACCCUGAGCGUGCUUUCGAUACGGGUUGACUUGAGGAAGGUAGGGGAGAAUGGAAUUCCUGGUGGAGCGGUGGAAUGCGCAGAUAUCAGGAGGAACACCAGUGGCGAAGGCGGUUCUCUGGGCCUUUCCUGACGCUGAGGAGCGAAAGCGUGGGGAGCGAACAGGCUUAGAUACCCUGGUAGUCCACGCUGUAAACGGUGGGUACUAGGUGUGGGGUCCAUUCCACGGGUUCCGUGCCGUAGCUAACGCUUUAAGUACCCCGCCUGGGGAGUACGGCCGCAAGGCUGAAACUCAAAGGAAUUGACGGGGCCCCGCACAAGCGGCGGAGCAUGCGGAUUAAUUCGAUGCAACGCGUAGAACCUUACCUGGGUUUGACAUGGAUCGGGAGUGCUCAGAGAUGGGUGUGCCUCUUUUGGGGUCGGUUCACAGGUGGUGCAUGGCUGUCGUCAGCUCGUGUCGUGAGAUGUUGGGUUAAGUCCCGCAACGAGCGCAACCCUUGUUCACUGUUGCCAGCACGUUAUGGUGGGGACUCAGUGGAGACCGCCGGGGCCAACUCGGAGGAAGGUGGGGAUGACGUCAAGUCAUCAUGCCCCUUAUGUCCAGGGCUUCACGCAUGCUACAAUGGCUGGUACAGAGAGUGGCGAGCCUGUGAGGGUGAGCGAAUCUCGGAAAGCCGGUCUCAGUUCGGAUUGGGGUCUGCAACUCGACCUCAUGAAGUCGGAGUCGCUAGUAAUCGCAGAUCAGCAACGCUGCGGUGAAUACGUUCCCGGGGCU
rnacentral:rRNA from 1 species